CAAUAAAAGGAUUUCAAGUAGUCC
rnacentral:siRNA from 1 species